rnacentral:rRNA from 1 species
AUUGAACGCUGGCGGCAGGCCUAACACAUGCAAGUCGAGCGGCAGCGGGAAAGUAGCUUGCUACUUUUGCCGGCGAGCGGCGGACGGGUGAGUAAUGCCUGGGAAAUUGCCCAGUCGAGGGGGAUAACAGUUGGAAACGACUGCUAAUACCGCAUACGCCCUACGGUGGAAAGCAGGGGACCUUCGGGCCUUGCGCGAUUGGAUAUGCCCAGGUGGGAUUAGCUAGUUGGUGAGGUAAUGGCUCACCAAGGCGACGAUCCCUAGCUGGUCUGAGAGGAUGAUCAGCCACACUGGAACUGAGACACGGUCCAGACUCCUACGGGAGGCAGCAGUGGGGAAUAUUGCACAAUGGGGGAAACCCUGAUGCAGCCAUGCCGCGUGUGUGAAGAAGGCCUUCGGGUUGUAAAGCACUUUCAGCGAGGAGGAAAGGUCAGUAGCUAAUAUCUGCUGACUGUGACGUUACUCGCAGAAGAAGCACCGGCUAACUCCGUGCCAGCCGCCGCGGUAA